rnacentral:rRNA from 1 species
AUUGAACGCUGGCGGCAGGCCUAACACAUGCAAGUCGAACGGGCUGGCGGACGGGUGAGUAAUGUCUGGGAAACGGCCUGAUGGAGGGGGAUAACUACUGGAAACGGUAGCUAAUCCCGCAUACUAUCAGAUGAGCCUAGGUCGGAUUAGCUAGUUGGUGGGGUAAAGGCCUAUCAAGGCGACGAUCCGUAACUGGUCUGAGAGGAUGAUCAUUCACAGUGGAACUGAGACACGGUCCAGACUCCUACGGGAUGCAGCAGGGGGGAAUAUUGUACAAUGGGCGAAAGCCUGAUCCAGCCAUGCCGCGUGUGUGAAGAAGGUCUUCGGAUUGUAAAGCACUUUAAGUUGGGAGGCGUUACCAGCAGAAUAAGCACCGGCUAACUUCGUGCCAGCAGCCGCGGUAAUUC